GAUGAACGCUGGCGGCGUGCCUAAUACAUGCAAGUCGAGCGAACAGACGAGGAGCUUGCUCCUCUGACGUUAGCGGCGGACGGGUGAGUAACACGUGGAUAACCUACCUAUAAGACUGGGAUAACUUCGGGAAACCGGAGCUAGUACCGGAUAAUAUGUUGAAUCGCAUGGUUCAACAGUGAAAGACGGUCUUGCUGUCACUUAUAGAUGGAUCCGCGCCGCAUUAGCUAGUUGGUAAGGUAACGGCUUACCAAGGCAACGAUGCGUAGCCGACCUGAGAGGGUGAUCGGCCACACUGGAACUGAGACACGGUCCAGACCCCUACGGGAGGCAGCAGUAGGGAAUCUUCCGCAAUGGGCGAAAGCCUGACGGAGCAACGCCGCGUGAGUGAAGAAGGUCUUCGGAUCGUAAAACUCUGUUAUUAGGGAAGAACAAAUGUGUAAGUAACUAUGCACGUCUUGACGGUACCUAAUCAGAAAGCCACGGCUAACUACGUG
rnacentral:rRNA from 1 species